rnacentral:lncRNA from 1 species
AUGGCUGGAGCCGGCAGUGGGAGAGCAGCGCCAGUCAGCCUGACCUCACAAGACUUUGUCGUGGUGAGGAGGGGACCCUGCUGGCAAGGAACAACUCCACGGCAGGUCAAGAGCUGCUCAAGCAGAGGCUCAAUUUCAUCUGAGAAGAAUCCAGCUCAUGUCCUCCAAGACCACUCCAGGAUGUCAACCAUAACAUGGUUCCCCAGCCCAUUGGAUGACCUGCUCUGCCUGUGCAGUGGUGACACUGCUGCAGGGACAGUGGCUAAAACUGAGAGGAAGAAAUGGGAACUGCUUGAGCCAGCCUUGCCACUGAGAAAAUGUCAACACUUCUCUGUUUCUGGUCCCUACAACACUGCAGACCCAAUGUGAGAAGUACUGACUGAAGGGCUUCUGCACACAGAGCAUUAUCAUUAUCUGCAUGGAGCUGUACAAAGGCGGCAAUACCAGCCCAAAGAGAUUGCAGUCAAGAUGUGGCAGGUGGCUACUUUGUUAGAAGCCAGUGAUGGAUUAGUUUGAUGCUGACUAGAAAACCACUGAUAUAACGGUGGUGGAAGUUUGUGAGGUUAUUGACAAUGUGUGGUGGCUGCAAAACGGUCUGUCACGGGAGGCCCAGGAGGGGCAGCUGAGCCGACCGCAGAGCACCCCCA